rnacentral:rRNA from 1 species
AUUGAACGCUGGCGGCAUGCCUUACACAUGCAAGUCGAACGGUAACAGGUUAAGCUGACGAGUGGCGAACGGGUGAGUAAUGUAUCGGAACGUGCCCAGUCGUGGGGGAUAACUGCUCGAAAGAGCAGCUAAUACAGCAUACGACCUGAGGGUGAAAGCGGGGGAUCGCAAGACCUCGCGCGAUUGGAGCGGCCGAUAUCAGAUUAGGUAGUUGGUGAGGUAAAGGCUCACCAAGCCGACGAUCUGUAGCUGGUCUGAGAGGACGACCAGCCACACUGGGACUGAGACACGGCCCAGACUCCUACGGGAGGCAGCAGUGGGGAAUUUUGGACAAUGGGCGCAAGCCUGAUCCAGCCAUGCCGCGUGCGGGAAGAAGGCCUUCGGGUUGUAAACCGCUUUUGUCAGGGAAGAAAAGGUUCUGGCUAAUACCUGGGACUCAUGACGGUACCUGAAGAAUAAGCACCGGCUAACUACGUG